CAGAGUUUUAUACUGGCUCAGGAUGAACGCUGGCGGCGUGCUAAUACAUGCAAGUCGAGCGAACGGACGAGAAGCUUGCUUCUCUGAUGUUAGCGGCGGACGGGUGAGUAACACGUGGAUAACCUACCUAUAAGACUGGGAUAACUUCGGGAAACCGGAGCUAAUACCGGAUAAUAUUUUGAACCGCAUGGUUCAAAAGUGAAAGACGGUCUUGCUGUCACUUAUAGAUGGAUCCGCGCUGCAUUAGCUAGUUGGUAAGGUAACGGCUUACCAAGGCAACGAUGCAUAGCCGACCUGAGAGGGUGAUCGGCCACACUGGAACUGAGACACGGUCCAGACUCCUACGGGAGGCAGCAGUAGGGAAUCUUCCGCAAUGGGCGAAAGCCUGACGGAGCAACGCCGCGUGAGUGAUGAAGGUCUUCGGAUCGUAAAACUCUGUUAUUAGGGAAGAACAUAUGUGUAAGUAACUGUGCACAUCUUGACGGUACCUAAUCAGAAAGCCACGGCUAACUACGUGCCAGCAGCCGCGGUAAUACGUAGGUGGCAAGCGUUAUCCGGAAUUAUUGGGCGUAAAGCGCGCGUAGGCGGUUUUUUAAGUCUGAUGUGAAAGCCCACGGCUCAACCGUGGAGGGUCAUUGGAAACUGGAAAACUUGAGUGCAGAAGAGGAAAGUGGAAUUCCAUGUGUAGCGGUGAAAUGCGCAGAGAUAUGGAGGAACACCAGUGGCGAAGGCGACUUUCUGGUCUGUAACUGACGCUGAUGUGCGAAAGCGUGGGGAUCAAACAGGAUUAGAUACCCUGGUAGUCCACGCCGUAAACGAUGAGUGCUAAGUGUUAGGGGGUUUCCGCCCCUUAGUGCUGCAGCUAACGCAUAAGCACCCGCCGGAGAGG
rnacentral:rRNA from 1 species